rnacentral:rRNA from 1 species
GGAAGCGAAAAAAGGGCGCAUGGGGGAUGCCUUGGCUCCCGGAGGCGACGAAGGACGUGGUAAGCUGCGAAAAGCGGCGGGGAGGUGCAAACGACCCUUGAUCCGCCGAUGUCCGAAUGGGGAAACCUAAUAGAUUGAAGAUCUAUUGAAAAGUCGCAAACCCGCUGAACUGAAACAUCUAAGUAGGCGGAGGAAAAGAAAACAAAAGUGAUUCCGCGAGUAGUGGCGAGCGAAAGCGGAAGAGGCCAAACCGAUGAGCGUGCUCAUCGGGGUUGUAGGACUGCGUCGUAGACUGUUAAUUUUUAGCAGAAAGAUUUGGAAAAAUCUGCCAGAGCGGGUGAAAGCCCCGUAAGCGAAAAGAAUUAACUACUUAGCAGGAUCCUGAGUAGGGCGGGGCUGGAGAAACCCUGUCUGAAUCCGGCGGCACCAUCCGCCAAGCCUAAACACUACCGGGAGACCGAUAGCGAACCAGUACCGUAAGGGAAAGGUGAAAAGAACCCUGAGCAAGGGAGUGAAAAGACUCUGAAACCAUGCGCUUACAAGCGGUCGGCGCUGUCCUGAGCAAUUAGGAUGGUAACGGCGUGCCUUUUGCAUAAUGAGCCUACGAGUUACACCUCACUGGCAUGCCUAAGCACUUCAGGUGCGGAAGCGAAGCGAAAGCGAGUCUUAACAGGGCGAACAAGAAGUCAGUGGGGGUAGACGCGAAACCGUGUGAUCUAUCCAUGGGCAGGCUGAAGGUCCGAUAAUCUCGGACUGGAGGGCCGAACUGGUGAAUGUUGAAAAAUUCUCGGAUGACCUGUGGAUAGGGGUGAAAGGCCAAUCAAACUCGGAGAUAGCUCGUACUCCCCGAAAUGCAUUUAGGUGCAGCGUUGUGUAAUGUUUGCCGGAGGUAAAGCUACUGAAAAGGCUAGGGGGCUUCACCGCCUACCAACCCUUAUCAAACUCAGAAUGCCGGUAAAUAGUAACAGCAGUGAGCCCCAGGGUGCGAAGGUCAUGGGGCGAGAGGGGAACAACCCAGACCAACAGCUAAGGUCCCUAAAUCUGGUUAAGUUGCAUUAAACGAGGUGGGAAUGCACAGACAGCUAGGAUGUUUGCUUGGAAGCAGCAAUUCAUUUAAAGAGUGCGUAACAGCUCACUAGUCGAGCGUUCCUGCGCGGAAAAUAAACGGGCAUCAAACCAGGUACCGAAGCUUUGGAUUCUCGCAAGAGAGUGGUAGGGGAGCAUUCAGUCGCGCCGAAGCGGAAUUGUGAGGUUCCGUGGAGUGAACUGAAAAGCAAAUGUAGGCAUAAGUAACGAUAAAUGGCGUGGAAAACGUCAUCGCCGUAAGACUAAGGGUUCCUUGAUCUACGUUCAUCGGAUCAGGGUGAGCCGGGACCUAAGGAUAAGCCGAAAGGCGAAGCCGAUGGCAAGUGGGUUAAUAUUCCUACGCCGGUGUAUAUUGUGAUGCGGGGACGGAGCGUCGGAGACAUCGCGCACUGACGGACAUGUGCGUUAAAGCCGCAAGGUGAUAGUACCGCGAGGGUUUCGGCCCGAGCGGAUAGUGUGUCAAAGAUACUUCCAGGAAAAGCCGCUAAACUUCAGGUAUACACCGCCCGUACCGUAAACCGACACAGGUAGUCGAGGAGAGCAUCCUAAGGCGCUCGAGUGAUUCGUGGCUAAGGAACUAGGCAAAAUGGUCUCGUAACUUCGGGAGAAGAGACGCCCCGCGAGGGGCCGCAGUGAAGAGGCCCAGGCGACUGUUUAGCAAAAACACAGGACUCUGCAAAAUCGAGAGAUGAAGUAUAGGGUCUGACACCUGCCCGGUGCCGGAAGGUUAAGGAAGGGGCUUAGGGGGUAACCUCGAAGGUCUUGACUGAAGCCCCGGUAAACGGCGGCCGUAACUAUAACGGUCCUAAGGUAGCGAAAUUCCUUGUCGGGUAAGUUCCGACCUGCACGAAUGGUGUAACGAUCUGGGCACUGUCUCAGCCACGAGCUCGGUGAAAUUGAAGUAUCGGUGAAGAUACCGAUUACCCGCAACGGGACGGAAAGACCCCGUGAACCUUUACUACAGCUUUGCAUUGGGCUUGACUAUUCGAUGCGUAGGAUAGGUGGGAGGCUAUGAUCCGGUGGUUCUGGCCAUUGGGGAGCCGACGUUGAAAUACCACCCUUUGACUAGUUGAGUCCUAACGGAGUAUAUCCAGACAGUGCAUGGCGGGUAGUUUGACUGGGGUGGUCACCUCCUAAAGAGUAACGGAGGUUUGCAAAGGUGCCCUCAGCACGGACGGUAAUCGUGCGUAGAGCGUAUUAGUACAAGGGCGCUUGACUGAGAGGCCGACGGGCCGAUCAGGGUCGAAAGACGGCUAAAGUGAUCCGGCGGUUCCACAUGGAAGGGCCGUCGCUCAAAGGAUAAAAGGUACUCCGGGGAUAACAGGCUGAUCUCCCCCAAGAGCUCAUAUCGACGGGGAGGUUUGGCACCUCGAUGUCGGCUCGUCGCAUCCUGGGGCUGGAGAAGGUCCCAAGGGUUGGGCUGUUCGCCCAUUAAAGCGGCACGUGAGCUGGGUUCAGAACGUCGCAAGACAGUUCGGUCCCUAUCUGUUGUGGGCGCAGGAAGAUUGAAGAGACCUGACACCAGUACGAGAGGACCGUGUUGGACGUACCGCUUGUGUAUCGGUUGUGCCGCCAGGUGCAGCGCCGAGUAGCAAUGUACGGCCGGGAUAAGCGCUGAAAGCAUCUAAGCGCGAAGCCUACUCUGAGAUGAAUCUUCCGUUGUAAGGGCCGCAGAAGACUACUGCGUUGAUAGGCGACAGGUGUACGUGUGGCAACACACUCAGCCGAGUCGUACUAAUUGCCCGUCAGCUUCCUUUU